GCGCACCAGUCGCGAAUAGUCUACAAUGGACGAAAGUCUGAUAGUGCGACGCCGUGUGUGCGAUUAAUUCCUUCGGGAUGUAAAGCACUUUUCUAUGAGAUAACAGCUCUUUAGGUUAAUAGCUUAUUGAGACGGAUAUUAUUAUAGGAAUAAGCUCCGGCUAACUCCGUGCCAGCAGCCGCGGUAAUACGGAAGGAGCGAGCGUUGUCCGGAUUUACUAGGCGUAAAGGGCUAGUAGGCGACUAAUUAAGUUAUAUGUUAAAUCCCACGGCUCAACUGUAGUCCUGCAUGUAAUACUGGUUAGAUAGAGUACUGUAGAGGAAGGCAGAAUUCCUGGAGUAGCGGUGGAAUGCGCAGAUAUCAGGAAGAAUAACCAAAAGCGAAGGCAGCCUUCUGGGCAGUUACUGACGCUGAAU
rnacentral:rRNA from 1 species